AACACAAUAGCUUAACUAGUAAAGUAUUUGACGCGCAACCAAAUGAUCCAGGUUCGAGUCCUGGUCUGGGCUGUCC
rnacentral:tRNA from 1 species